CCGAUAGUGAACCAGUACCGUGAGGGAAAGGCGAAAAGAACCCCGGCGAGGGGAGUGAAAAAGAACCUGAAACCGUGUACGUACAAGCAGUGGGAGCACCCUUUGGGGUGUGACUGCGUACCUUUUGUAUAAUGGGUCAGCGACUUAUAUUCUGUAGCAAGGUUAACCGAAUAGGGGAGCCGGAGGGAAACCGAGUCUUAAUGGGGCGUUAAGUUGCAGGGUAUAGACCCGAAACCCGGUGAUCUAGCCAUGGGCAGGUUGAAGGUUGGGUAACACUAACUGGAGGACCGAACCGACUAAUGUUGAAAAAUUAGCGGAUGACCUGUGGCUGGGGGUGAAAGGCCAAUCAAACCGGGAGAUAGCUGGUUCUCCCCGAAAGCUAUUUAGGUAGCGCCUCGUGAAUUCAUCUCCGGGGGUAGAGCACUGUUUCGGCUAGGGGGCCAUCCCGGCUUACCAACCCGAUGCAAACUGCGAAUACCGGAGAAUGUUAUCACGGGAGACACACGGCGGGUGCUAACGUCCGUCGUGAAGAGGGAAACAACCCAGACCGCCAGCUAAGGUCCCAAAGUCAUGGUUAAGUGGGAAACGAUGUGGGAAGGCCCAGACAGCCAGGAUGUUGGCUUAGAAGCAGCCAUCAUUUAAAGAAAGCGUAAUAGCUCACUGGUCGAGUCGGCCUGCGCGGAAGAUGUAACGGGGCUAAACCAUGCACCGAAGCUGCGGCAGCGACGCUGAUGCGUUGUUGGGUAGGGGAGCGUUCUGUAAGCCUGCGAAGGUGGCCUGUGAGGGUUGCUGGAGGUAUCAGAAGUGCGAAUGCUGACAUAAGUAACGAUAAAGCGGGUGAAAAGCCCGCUCGCCGGAAGACCAAGGGUUCCUGUCCAACGUUAAUCGGGGCAGGGUGAGUCGACCCCUAAGGCGAGGCCGAAAGGCGUAGUCGAUGGGAAACGGGUUAAUAUUCCCGUACUUGGUGUUACUGCGAAGGGGGGACGGAGAAGGCUAUGUUGGCCGGGCGACGGUUGUCCCGGUUUAAGCGUGUAGGUGUGUGUUCCAGGUAAAUCCGGUUCACUUUAACACUGAGGCGUGAUGACGAGGCACUACGGUGCUGAAGCAACAAAUGCCCUGCUUCCAGGAAAAGCCUCUAAGCAUCAGGUAACAUCAAAUCGUACCCCAAACCGACACAGGUGGUCAGGUAGAGAAUACCAAGGCGCUUGAGAGAACUCGGGUGAAGGAACUAGGCAAAAUGGUGCCGUAACUUCGGGAGAAGGCACGCUGACACGUAGGUGAAGUGAUUUACUCAUGGAGCUGAAGUCAGUCGAAGAUACCAGCUGGCUGCAACUGUUUAUUAAAAACACAGCACUGUGCAAACACGAAAGUGGACGUAUACGGUGUGACGCCUGCCCGGUGCCGGAAGGUUAAUUGAUGGGGUCAGCGCAAGCGAAGCUCCUGAUCGAAGCCCCGGUAAACGGCGGCCGUAACUAUAACGGUCCUAAGGUAGCGAAAUUCCUUGUCGGGUAAGUUCCGACCUGCACGAAUGGCGUAAUGAUGGCCAGGCUGUCUCCACCCGAGACUCAGUGAAAUUGAACUCGCUGUGAAGAUGCAGUGUACCCGCGGCAAGACGGAAAGACCCCGUGAACCUUUACUAUAGCUUGACACUGAACAUUGAGCCUUGAUGUGUAGGAUAGGUGGGAGGCUUUGAAGUGUGGACGCCAGUCUGCAUGGAGCCGGCCUUGAAAUACCACCCUUUAAUGUUUGAUGUUCUAACGUGGACCCGUGAUCCGGGUUGCGGACAGUGUCUGGUGGGUAGUUUGACUGGGGCGGUCUCCUCCUAAAGAGUAACGGAGGAGCACGAAGGUUGGCUAAUCCUGGUCGGACAUCAGGAGGUUAGUGCAAUGGCAUAAGCCAGCUUGACUGCGAGCGUGACGGCGCGAGCAGGUGCGAAAGCAGGUCAUAGUGAUCCGGUGGUUCUGAAUGGAAGGGCCAUCGCUCAACGGAUAAAAGGUACUCCGGGGAUAACAGGCUGAUACCGCCCAAGAGUUCAUAUCGACGGCGGUGUUUGGCACCUCGAUGUCGGCUCAUCACAUCCUGGGGCUGAAGUAGGUCCCAAGGGUAUGGCUGUUCGCCAUUUAAAGUGGUACGCGAGCUGGGUUUAGAACGUCGUGAGACAGUUCGGUCCCUAUCUGCCGUGGGCGCUGGAGAACUGAGGGGGGCUGCUCCUAGUACGAGAGGACCGGAGUGGACGCAUCACUGGUGUUCGGGUUGUCAUGCCAAUGGCACUGCCCGGUAGCUAAAUGCGGAAGAGAUAAGUGCUGAAAGCAUCUAAGCACGAAACUUGCCCCGAGAUGAGUUCUCCCUGAGACUUAGAGUCUCCUGAAGGAACGUUGAAGACGACGACGUUGAUAGGCCGGGUGUGUAAGCGCAGCGAUGCGUUGAGCUAACCGGUACUAAUGAACCGUGAGGCUUAACCUUACAACGCCGAAG
rnacentral:rRNA from 1 species